AUACUCUGGUUUCUCUUCAUAUCGCAUAAAUCUUUCGCCUUUUACUAAAGAUUUCCGUGGAGAGGGACUAACUUGAGACUUAAACCAAUUUUUUUGAGGUCUUGCUUAUACAAGGCC